UUUUCCAAAAAAAAGAAAAACACUGAAACGUGACAUAUGUUGGCACCAUUGAGCUGUGUACUGCAAAUGAGUAUCCUCUACUGACCAAAUCUAGCUCGCGGCCUAUCCUUUCUAAAUAAAGAUUUAUCGGAACACAGCCAGGCCCAUUCCAUCCAUGUAUCUUCCGUGGCCAAUAUGUGGCAUCAUAAUGGCAGAACCGAGUAGGCAACAGAGACCACAUGGUCGUCACAGGUGAAAAUCGUUACUGUUCAGCCCUUUAAGAACCAGGCUGACCUUUGAACUAUGGCACCCGGAUGUUGGGAUUUUCUUUCCACCGUUUCUCCUCACCGCUGUUCUCCGCCCGGCCGCCAGGUUGAUAUGUUCUUUCACUGUAUCACCUGGUGAGAACAAAUCUUUGUUUUAAACAAACCUAAUAAGACGCCUUCACGUUAAAAUCGUUGACUGAAAUGUUGGCUGCGUGGACCACGUGGGCCGCGGUAUUAAGUCCCUGACAACAGACGUGCGGGGGAGCCUGGAGCGUGGGUCCCCGCAGGGCCUGCCGGGAGCUCAGGGAGCUGCUGCUGCAGAGUCCGCGACAGCGUUUCUGGCGCAGGCGCCACGCCAACAAUGCCAAGGAAAGAGAAUGACCCAAAAUCCUUACUGGAAAGGACAUCUCAGAGAACCAAGAUUUGUUCUGAUCCUGUGGCUAUGGAGAUUUUAGGAGGAAGAUCACUCUCCACCCUGUGCUGGUGGGAACCACUUUGGUGACCUCAGCUUACCCUUAAGCGACUGUUCAGGUUCUGUGGUAAGCCAUGACAAGAUAAGAAAGUAGAAGGAAGUUGUCGUUAAGACAGUACAGAAAAGUGGAUGAUGUCUGUCUUACCGAUGGCAUGAAGAGCAAACAGCUGAUCAAAUGGCUUGAUCAUGGCACGCUUACUGGAGCCGUUCACAUGUACUACAAGCCAU